GCCGCUGUAGCUCAACUGGUAGAGCAACUGACUUGUAAUCAGUAGGUUGGGGGUUCAAGUCCUCUCGGCGGCACCA
rnacentral:tRNA from 30 species